UUCCUGGUCUAAUUUUGCUUCUAGAAUCCAAGAUUCCUCUCGCAUGCUCUUCUGGUUUCCACCGCGAUGCAGAUCCAACGGCUCUGGAUAACAAACACCUCUAAGAUUCCCGUGCUGCAACUGAAUCACGCCGGCCGAGGCGCUCUACGACGACGACGGCGUGCGCCGCCGCAAUCAGCCCCAAUACUGCUCCGGGCACCCCGUCUUCACCCACCCGGACCUCCUCCCGCCGGCAUACCCCGUGGGACCGGCCUCCUCCGCCGCCCUCCUACAACGCCGGUGCGUUUCCCUGCGGCGCGCGCGGGUGGGCGGGGCGGAGUACGUGGAGGCGUUUCGAUCGGUACCCGCCUGUCGUUCAGCCGGAGUAGCCCCAGCCAUGGCCGACGGGCUCGGCGCCCCCCUCCCCUCCCUGCACCGCCGCGGACAUCCAUGCAGGAACUUGAACUCAUGGGCAUGGCAUCAUCCCUAUUACAAUAGAUAUCCCUGGCCGGCAGAAGUAUGGUGACGCAAAGAACCCGGCCGCCAUCUGCUCCUUGCAUCAUGCAUCAGCAAGCAAGCGACGGAGCUUCCAACAGGCGGAAAUGCAUGCGUGUUGGACUUAUGACACAGCUGAAACAAUCCUUUGCCGGAAGAUUUUGCUGCUGUCCAGGUCAUCUUGAAGACGUUUGGUGACGCAUCCGGUCUGAGAACUUAACAGUGCGAAGAGUGUGGCUUAUCCUAUCUCCUAUGCAGAAUGAUUUUGGUGGAGUGCAAGCUAUUUGCCUUGCUGGUAUCUGGGUAUGCCUCUAAGGUUCAGAAAGCCGAGGAGAGCCAAGCUACAGCCAACUGUGCUUGACAAGGCUGCCGGCAAGCUCUCGCCAUGGAAAGGGCGCCUUCUCAACAGGACAGGAAGACUGAUGCUUCGGUGGUCACUGCAACUGCUACGUAUUUUCUAGCUGCCUUCCUGGAGGGGACAAAUGGAUGAUUAAAAAGAUGGACAAGCUCAGAAGGAAUUUUCUCUGGGGAGCUGAUGACGAAAGAGACGAUGGAAGGGCACCCAGACUCCAUGCGAUGAGGCUGACCAACGCCAGGGGCUCAAUUUCAGAAUCCGGGGAUGGUGGAGGAGGAUUUGCUCGGGCAGCGGCUCGCCGAGGCCAGGAGAAGAGAUUACUCUGUAGGCAUACACUACUAGCAGACUUGACUAGCAGCGUCGUCGAGAAAGGGGAACGGUGAAAAUCUGGAAUCGAUCAGUUUCGAACAAGAAGUACCUGUGUAUGUAGCGAUCCAGCGCGCUUCCAACUGAAGAGGACCGCGGCGGUAUGCAACAACUCUGCUCAUGAACUCAUCUUCAACAGAAUGGUCGUGUUUCAACUCUCUUUUGUUUCCCCUCCGACAGAAAAAGAGAAAGGAAUAGGGCCAUUUUUCUACUGGCAUCUUCAGAGUGGAGACUUGGCCAAACUCCAUUCGCUUGUUUUGCUUGCCGGGCGGCCAAAUGGUAAAAGCUCCCCUGACUGACUUGUCUCCAUGGAGGUAACGACCGAAACUAGGACUUGUAUAAUGGCAGUGGAGUGUGCUCAUCUGCUGGCGACAACUCUAUCAAAUAAACAUGUUAGUGGUAGCUACACUCCAAACACAUACUCCUGUACUACUCCCUUCAUUUCUAAAUAUAAGCCCUUUUAGAGAUUUUAAUAUGAACUACAUACAGAUGUAUAUAAACAUAUUUUAGAGCGUAAAUUCACUCAUUUUGCUCCGAUGUAGUCCAUAUUAAAAUCUCUAAAGAGACUUGUAUUUAGGAACGGAGGGAGUACAUCAUAAACAUAGGACUCCCAACACUAUCGACACUGUGUAUGCUGUUGUUGAUGCAAGAUUAGUAAUCAAGCUUCUUCUUUUUUA